rnacentral:rRNA from 1 species
CCUACGGGAGGCAGCAGUGAGGAAUAUUGGUCAAUGGCCGUAAGGCUGAACCAGCCAAGUAGCGUGAGGGAAGACUGCCCUAUGGGUUGUAAACCUCUUUUAUGCGGGGAUAAAGGUGUCCACGUCUGGAUGUUUGCAGGUACCGCAUGAAUAAGGAUAGGCUAACUUCGUACCAUCAGCCGCGGUAAUACGGAGGCUCCGAGGGUAUCCGGAUUUAUUGGGUUUAAAGGGAGCGUAGAUGGGUUGUUAAGUCAGUUGUGAAAGUUUGCGGGUCAACCGUAAAAUUGCAAUUGAUACUGGCAGUCUUGAGUACAGUUGAGGUAGGCGGAAUUCGUGGUGUAGCGGUGAAAUGCUUAGAUAUCACGAAGAACUCCGAUUGCGAAGGCAGCUUACUAAACUGCCACUGACAUUGAUGCUCGAAAGUGUGGGUAUCAAACAGGAUUAGAUACCCUUGUAGUC